rnacentral:rRNA from 1 species
UACGUAGGGUGCGAGCGUUGUCCGGAAUUAUUGGGCGUAAAGAGCUCGUAGGCGGUCCGUCACGUCGGGCGUGAAAAUCCAGGGCUCAACCCUGGACCUGCGCCCGAUACGGGCGGACUAGAGUUCGGUAGGGGAGACUGGAAUUCCUGGUGUAGCGGUGAAAUGCGUAGAGAUCCGGAGGAACACCAGCGGCGAAGGCGGCAUCCUGGACUGGUCCUGACGCUCAGGAGCGAAAGCGUGGGGAGCGAUCCGG